rnacentral:rRNA from 1 species
GAUGAACGCUAGCGGCAGGCUUAAUACAUGCAAGUCAAGGGGGUAGCAAUACAACCGGCGCACGGGUGAGUAACGCGUACACAACAUACCAUAUACUGGGGUAUAGCUUUGGGAAACUGAAGGUAAUCCCCCAUAACAUUGCGAGAGGGCAUCUGAUUGCAAUUAAAGUUUCGGCGGUAUAUGAUUGGUGUGCGUUUGAUUAGCUAGUUGGUAGGGUAACGGCCUACCAAGGCGACGAUCAAUAGCUGGCGUGAGAGCGCGACCAGCCACACUGGAACUGAGACACGGUCCAGACUCCUACGGGAGGCAGCAGUAGGGAAUAUUGGACAAUGGGCGCAAGCCUGAUCCAGCCAUGCCGCGUGAUAGAUGAAGGCCCUCUGGGUUGUAAAUAUCUUUUAUCUGGGAAGAAACUCCUCUAUUCUUAGAGGCCUGACGGUACCAGAGGAAUAAGCACCGGCUAACUCCGUGCCAGCAGCCGCGGUAAAGUAU